rfam:Coprinopsis cinerea okayama7#130 chromosome 2 cont3.2, whole genome shotgun sequence.
GCCCGUGUAGCUUAACUGGUAGAGCGUUGUACUUAUGAGGUUACGUAGGCUAUGCAAAGGUCCCGAGUUCGACCCUCGGCAUGGGCA